AACAAACACUGUUCAUUUGGUCAUUUUCCAGAGGCUGCAUAUUGAUCACCCAGAUUAGGUCAAUUUUUAGAGCUACUUAGGUUGGUUUUCUAGGACAGUUUCCUUCAUCAAAGUUGUUUCAUUUUGUGUCUAGUCUAACCUCCAAUUGGUCUUAUACCAAUUGGAGUUACCUAGCUUGAGUUAUAACCUUAAGAGCACACUGGACUCAAGUCCAAUAUUCUGGUACCUUGAGAGGCAACAUACCAAUACACUUUUUAUACCACAACUCACUCCAAUUUAAAUUCAAUUCACCAU
rnacentral:misc_RNA from 1 species